UCUGGUGGCGAUGGCGAGAAGGUCACACCCGUUCCCAUACCGAACACGGAAGUUAAGCUUCUCAGCGCCGAUGGUAGUUAGGGGCUGUCCCCUUGUGAGAGUAGGACGCUGCCGGGC
rnacentral:rRNA from 6 species